AACGAACGCUGGCGGCAGGCUUAACACAUGCAAGUCGAGCGCUAUAGAUUUCGGACUGUAGAGCGGCGAACUGGUGAGUAAUGCGUAGGAACCUAUCCUUAUCUACGGGAUAACCUAGGGAAACUUAGGCUAAUACGGUAUACACCCUGAGGGGGAAAGGGAAUUUUUCUGGAUAUGGAGGGGCCUACGUUAGAUUAGCUAGUUGGUAGGGUAAAGGCCUACCAAGGCGAUGAUCUAUAGCUGGUCUGAGAGGACGAUCAGCCACACUGGGACUGAGACACGGCCCAAACUCCUACGGGAGGCAGCAGUGGGGAAUAUUGGACAAUGGGCGCAAGCCUGAUCCAGCCAUGCCGCGUGAGUGAUGAAGGCCUUAGGGUUGUAAAGCUCUUUCACCCAUGAAGAUAAUGACUGUAGUGGGAGAAGAAGCCCCGGCUAACUUCGUGCCAGCCGCCGCAGUAA
rnacentral:rRNA from 1 species